GAGGGUAUAGCUCAAUGGUCGGGCACGUGCUUAGCAUGCAUGAGGUUCUGAGUUCAAUCCCCAGUCCCUCCA
rnacentral:tRNA from 1 species